UACAGAGGGUGCGAGCGUUGUCCGGAAUCACUGGGCGUAAAGGCGCGUAGGUGGCGACCCAAGUCGAUGGUGAAAGCUCGUCGCUCAACGACGAGUCGGCCACCGAUACUGGGUUGCUCGAGCACUGUAGAGGCAGAUGGAAUUCCGGGUGUAGCGGUGGAAUGCGUAGAGAUCCGGAAGAACACCGGUGGCGAAGGCGGUCUGCUGGG
rnacentral:rRNA from 1 species